rnacentral:lncRNA from 1 species
UUUUAUUCAACUGAAUUUAGUAAGCACUAAAGAUGAUAAAGCACAAUAACCUACUAUUAGCAGUUACUGAACAACUGUUUCUUGAGUUAGGCAUUGUAACAACCACUGGGUGUAUGAAGAUAAUGAAGACAAAGUUGCUGUCACUGGGGUCUCUACAUGCAGAAAGGAAGAUGAGAAAACAAUAAGCAAUGGGAUGGAAUGGAACAUCAUAUCAUAAAGUAAGAGUUCAUCAGCAACUGCUCUCCCCAGGGCCCAGUAAGGGACCCCUGACCCAGUCAUUCAUGAAGAGAAGGAGGCCAUUACGGCAGAAGUAACAGAGGAAAGACAGGCUCAAUUUUCCAACAAGCCAGAUGCCCAUAGAACUGAAGCUUGAGAAACUUCCAUUUGUACAGUGUUCUCCCAACCGCGGGAAGAGAGGUCCGGCCCGCGACGGAGUUCCCAGGAAGAAGGCUGGCUG